rnacentral:rRNA from 1 species
GAUGAACGCUAGCUACAGGCUUAACACAUGCAAGUCGAGGGGAAACGACAUCGAAAGCUUGCUUUUGAUGGGCGUCGACCGGCGCACGGGUGAGUAACGCGUAUCCAACCUGCCCAUCACUUGGGAAUAACCUUGCGAAAGUAAGACUAAUACCCAAUGACAUCCCACGAAGACAUCUGAAUGGGAUUAAAGAUUUAUCGGUGAUGGAUGGGGAUGCGUCUGAUUAGCUUGUUGGCGGGGUAACGGCCCACCAAGGCAACGAUCAGUAGGGGUUCUGAGAGGAAGCGCCCCCAGAGUGGAACUGAGACACGGGCCAAACUCCUACGGGAGGCAGCAGUGAGGAAUAUUGGUCAAUGGGCGAGAGCCUGAACCAGCCAAGUAGCGUGCAGGAUGACGGCCCUAUGGGUUGUAAACUGCUUUUAUAAGGGAAUAAAGUGGGUCUCGUGAGACUUUUUGCAUGUACCUUAUGAAUAAGGACCGGCUAAUUCCGUG